GCCCCCAGGGAGAGACGCGGGCAUUGCACUGCGCUCGUGCUGACCCCUGCCACUACCCCAAACUGGGGCAGAUGGGGCAUGCAAUUUUUGGUAGUGGGGGACUGCGUUCGCGCUCUCCCCCUAUUUUACAAUCCAAUGGAAGAUCUAUACACCCGCUGAAACACUUGCGCGGCGGAGGAGAGUGCAAGCUAUUUAUUGAGAUCCGGGUUCUUCGAUAUGGCUUCCGAUGUGUCGUUUUCUUGUGUUAAGUGAGAGUUGCUCACUCAGAGCCCUUAAAAUAUACCUGCCCAAGGCUGCAUCUGGAGAGAAAAUUGCAAUAUUUGAAGUUUUUGCGCUAUCUCUAUUCGUAUUAUGUCUUCACAUUGUGGGUGAAGAAGAUGAAGAAAUAUGCCUGAGGUAGGUAAGGGACUUUAUUGAUCCUCGGAAGAAUCAUUUGAGGGCAGGUGUGGCAGGGAAAUUGGAAGCAGGAUGACGACGGGCCCUCGGGCCACUCUAGAUGGCCGCACAUUGCUGUGCUUCAGCGACCCUUCUGGCCCAGCUCACUAUCCCGAACUUUAUUUCCGGUUGCGAGCUGCGAAGAGUGCCUACCAUCGCUCCUGGUGGGCGGAAAAUUAGGUAAAAUAACAUAAAAUCGAGAUAGCUGACGAUUCCAUCCCUGGCACCUAAAAGCGAAGGCAGGUAGCUGGAGCCUCGUUCCGAGUGCUCGGGCUUUGGUGUCAGCAGCCGUGUUCGGACGAGACCACCCAAACCUAAG